UCUUUUCCAAAUCCCAAUCUCAUUAAGUCCAUUUUUCAACCAUUCAAAGCUCAAGCACCUGGAUAGUUGGGGUAACGAGAUAUUUGUAGAAACAAAUCACCAAUAUUUGAACCCAAGGUUUCAAUUAGAGUGGCUUGAUUUAUCUGGUGGUGGAUAUUGUGGAGCAUUCCCCAAAUUCCUACAUCAUCAGCAUAACCUACAAUUUGUUGAUCUAUCACACAUUCAAAUGAGAGAUGUGUUUCCGUAUUGGUUGAUACAGAACAACACAAAACUAGCAACACUUUACUUGGUCAACAAUUCUCUCUCAGGGCCUCUCCAACUGCCACUCCAUUCUCAUAUGAAUUUGUCACUAUUAGAUAUCUCAGACAAUUGCUUCAAUGGCUCAAUUCCAGUAGAGAUCGGAACAUAUCUGCCAAAAUUGAUACAUUUAUACAUGUCGGGAAAUGGUUUCAAGGGUAGUAUUCCCUAUUCAUUUGGAAAUAUGAGCUUAUU
rnacentral:misc_RNA from 1 species